AAGCGGAGGAAAAGAAACUAACAAGGAUUCCCCUAGUAACGGCGAGCGAACCGGGAAGAGCUCAAAUUUGUAAUCUGGCGCCCCUCGGGCUCAGAGUUGUAAUCUACAGAGGCGUUUUCCGUGCCGGCCCGUGCCCAACUUUGCUUGGAACAGUGAGAUCAAAGAGGGUGAAAAUCCCGUACUUGACACGACCGCCGGUGCUAUGUGAUACGUCUUCUAAGAGUCGAGUUGUUUGGGAAUGCAGCUCAAAACGGGUGGUAAAUUCCAUCUAAGGCUAAAUAUUGGCGAGAGACCGAUAGCGAACAAGUACCGUGAGGGAAAGAUGAAAAGCACUUUGGAAAGAGAGUUAAACAGCACGUGAAAUUGUUGAAAGGGAAACGAUUGAAGUCAGUCGUGUCCGAGGGGUUCAGCCGGUCCUGCCGGUGCAUUCCUCUCGGACGGGUCAACAUCGGUUUUGUCCGGCGGACAAGGGCAUGGGGAAAGUGGCACCUUUGGGUGUGUUAUAGCCCCGUGUCGCAUACGUCGGACGAGACCGAGGAACGCAGCUCGCCUCACGGCCGGGGUUCGCCCACGUUCGAACUUAGGAUGUUGACAUAAUGGCUUUAAAC
rnacentral:rRNA from 1 species